rnacentral:rRNA from 1 species
UCCCAACCCAAUGUGAACGUUACCAAACUGUUGCCUCGGCGGGAUCUCUGCCCCGGGUGCGUCGCAGCCCCGGACCAAGGCGCCCGCCGGAGGACCAACCAAAACUCUUUUUGUAUACCCCCUCGCGGGUUUUUUAUAAUCUGAGCCUUCUCGGCGCCUCUCGUAGGCGUUUCGAAAAUGAAUCAAAACUUUCAACAACGGAUCUCUUGGUUCUGGCAUCGAUGAAGAACGCAGCGAAAUGCGAUAAGUAAUGUGAAUUGCAGAAUUCAGUGAAUCAUCGAAUCUUUGAACGCACAUUGCGCCCGCCAGUAUUCUGGCGGGCAUGCCUGUCCGAGCGUCAUUUCAACCCUCGAACCCCUCCGGGGGGUCGGCGUUGGGGAUCGGCCCUGCCUCUUGGCGGUGGCCGUCUCCGAAAUACAGUGGCGGUCUCGCCGCAGCCUCUCCUGCGCAGUAGUUUGCACACUCGCAUCGGGAGCGCGGCGCGUCCACAGCCGUUAAACACCCAACUUCUGAAAUGUUGACCUCGGAUCAGGUAGGAAUACCCGCUGAACUUAAGCAUAUCAAU